CUUGUGCGCCCUAACAUUUUUCUGCUGCUGUUGGCCACCGUCCACCU
rnacentral:snoRNA from 1 species